AGUUAGUAAGUUUUAGAUAAACUUGUACUUUGAAAGUACAAAAGGAUGGUUAAAUUCCAUCACUAACUU
rnacentral:tRNA from 1 species